UCCCACCACAUCUCCUAAACCUGCAGCUUCUCUAAUCUUACUCAAUGCAAUUGUUGGAGUGAAUCAGCACAGGGAAAUGAGCAACCUUGCAGCUCAGCACAGCUAGGAACAACUGACAUGGGGAUUUCUGAAUCAGAAUCAGCACCUGUAUCCCCUGCAAAGUGCAGGAUGUUGAUUUUUGGUAAAAUGUGGUCUGCGCAAGACACUUCUGAGUUAAACCCUGACCUGGCAGUGAGUUCUCAUGGAACCCUGGUCUCCUGAAAACGAUGACAGUGAAAAUGGGAGUGAAGGUGUCUUUAAGAGAGGAGGCCUGAGGAAUAAUUCCCUUUGAAAUUACCUUUGCCGGUGUAUAACCUGUGCUGCUGCUGGAUCACAGGGACCUGACAGCUUUUGCUUUUCCUCAGCUGCCCACUGGAUGAGGGAAAGGCACUCACAGAGGUGAUCGUGGCUGGAGCCGCUUUGUGUUUUGCAGCUCAUGCCUCAAAUUCCAUCUAGAAAACAACCAAGAAAAAAACAACCCAGCAGCCUGGUCUCAGAGCAACGGGGCAACAAUAUCAGUGCGUGAA